CUACGGGAGGCACCAGUGAGGAAUAUUGCACAAUGGGGGGAACCCUGAUGCAGCAACGCCGCGUGGAGGAUGACGCAUUUCGGUGUGUAAACUCCUUUUAUAUGUCAAGAAAAUGACGGUAGCAUAUGAAUAAGCACCGGCUAACUCCGUGCCAGCAGCCGCGGUAAUACGGAGGGUGCAAGCGUUACUCGGAAUCACUGGGCGUAAAGGAAGCGUAGGCGGGUUGGAAAGUCAGGUGUGAAAUCCUACAGCUUAACUGUAGAACUGCACUUGAAACUUCUAAUCUAGAGUAUGGGAGGGGGAGAUGGAAUUAGUGGUGUAGGGGGUAAAAUCCGUAGAUAUCACUAGGAAUACCUAAAGCGAAGGCGAUCUCCUGGAACAUUACUGACGCUAAGGCGUGAAGGCGUGGGGAGCAAACAGGAUUAGAUACCCUAGUAGUC
rnacentral:rRNA from 1 species